GAUGAACGCUGGCGGCGUGCCUAAUACAUGCAAGUCGAGCGAACGGACGAGAAGCUUGCUUUUCUGAUGUUAGCGGCGGACGGGUGAGUAACACAUGGAUAACCUACCUAUAAGACUGGGAUAACUUCGGGAAACCGGAGCUAAUACCGGAUAAUAUUUUGAACCGCAUGGUUCAAAAGUGAAAGACGGUCUUGCUGUCACUUAUAGAUGGAUCCGCGCUGCAUUAGCUAGUUGGUAAGGUAACGGCUUACCAAGGCAACGAUGCAUAGCCGACCUGAGAGGGUGAUCGGCCACACUGGAACUGAGACACGGUCCAGACUCCUACGGGAGGCAGCAGUAGGGAAUCUUCCGCAAUGGGCGAAAGCCUGACGGAGCAACGCCGCGUGAGUGAUGAAGGUCUUCGGAUCGUAAAACUCUGUUAUUAGGGAAGAACAUAUGUGUAAGUAACUGUGCACAUCUUGACGGUACCUAAUCAGAAAGCCACGGCUAACUACGUG
rnacentral:rRNA from 1 species